rnacentral:rRNA from 1 species
GGAUCAUUACUGAGUCGUUGACAUGAGUUGUUGCUGGUCCUCACAUGGGGGCAUGUGCACGCUCUGUUCACACAUCCACUCACACCUGUGCACCCUCUGUAGUUCUAUGGUUGGGGGACACACCGUCUUCCUCCUGUGGUUCUACGUCUUUACACACACAACGUAGUGAAGUCUUAUGGAAUGUGCACCGCGUUUANCGCAAUACAAUACAACUUUCAGCAACGGAUCUCUUGGCUCUCGCAUCGAUGAAGAACGCAGCGAAAUGCGAUAAGUAAUGUGAAUUGCAGAAUUCAGUGAAUCAUCGAAUCUUUGAACGCACCUUGCGCCCCUUGGCCAUUCCGAGGGGCAUGCCUGUUUGAGUAUCAUGAACACCUCAACUCUCAUGGUUUUCCAUGAUGAGAUUGGACUUUGGGGGUUUUGCUGGCCAUGNGGUUGGCUCCUCUCAAAUGAAUUAGCUUGCCAGUGUUUGGUGGCGUCACAGGUGUGAUAACUGUCUGCGCUUGUGGCUGUCUGCCAGGUGACCUUCAGUGAUGAAGGCUUGCUGGAGCUUCCAAAUGUCUCUCCUGAGUGAAGACAGCUUUUUGAUCGUUCGAUCUCAAAUCAGGUAGGACUACCCGCUGAACUUAAGCAUAUCAA